rnacentral:rRNA from 1 species
GACGAACGCUGGCGGCGUGCUUAACACAUGCAAGUCGAACGGAAAGGCCCCUUUGGUGGUACUCGAGUGGCGAACGGGUGAGUAACACGUGAGUAACCUGCCCUUGACUUCGGGAUAACUUCAGGAAACUGGGGCUAAUACCGGAUAGGAAUCCUUGCUGCAUGGUGGGGGUUGGAAAGCUUCGGCGGUUUUGGAUGGACUCGCGGCUUAUCAGCUUGUUGGUGGGGUAGUGGCUUACCAAGGCUUUGACGGGUAGCCGGCCUGAGAGGGCGACCGGCCACAUUGGGACUGAGAUACGGCCCAGACUCCUACGGGAGGCAGCAGUGGGGAAUAUUGCACAAUGGGCGGAAGCCUGAUGCAGCAACGCCGCGUGCGGGAUGACGGCCUUCGGGUUGUAAAACGCUUUCAGCAGGGGCGAAGCUUGUGGUGACGGUACCUGCAGAAGAAGCACCGGCUAACUACGUG